UAUUUUAUUUUAUUUUAUUUGUAGCUGAAAUGCCAGAAGUUGGAAAACACCACAAGAAAGUCAUGGGCCUUUUAGUCUGUGUGUUGCUGUCCGUGGCCAAUGACCGAACCCCUGCAUUGGAGCUUGCAGUGAAGCGGACAGCUCCGGCAUGAGUCCUCCCCUCCCUUCUCCUCAGCUUUCCCAGAAAAUCCUUCCACGUGUGGCCGACUGUGGAGCAUGCCUAACUCUGCUGACAUGUCUUCCUUGGAUGAUCGUCACAUUUGGUGUCCAAUGUGGAAGCUGGAGAUGUCUGAGGUGAAGUAAUUUGCACAUUGUCCUGAUUGGUAGGUAGCAAGACUUUAACUUGAGCCCACAUCUGCCUGCCCACAAAGCCCUUGUUUGCUCCAGAGACAAUACCUUGUGUUUUCAUGUCUAGCUUGUGAAGGCCUAAUUUUUCUAAGGUUAAAAAUCAUGACUCUGAACAAAUUAACAAGCAAAAGACAACUUCAUUAAAAAGUGGGCAAAGGCUGGGCAUGGUGGCUCA